UUCUUAUUAUCUUUUGCUUGUGGUUUCUCAGCAACGAGUCACGUCCGAUGUAGAGAAGAGAAAGGCAGCCUGAUGGAUCGAGAAAAUUACAGAAAAUAAAGAAGACAUCGGUCUAGCAGAGAGGAUGUCAAGAAGGCAGCGUCAACACUUACUUCUGGUGAUCGGGAUUGAAGAUCGAAUGUUUGGAUAUAGAAUAUAAGCAACAUCCAAGAGUCAACGUCCAUGAUCGACAAUUGAAGAUGUUCAAUCCAAAUUGAGGGAAUGGAUGGGGGCCAGAGUCAACUGGGGGUGAUUAUGUUUAUAUUGCAACUAGCGAAGGCAAGAACAAGGAACAAGGAAGCUGAAACGAGAAAAGAGAUGAUGGAAUUAUGAUUUGGGGGGUUUGUUUUUUUCAAUUUAAUGUCGUUCAAGAAAAAAAUAUAAUCUGUUUUGAUCAAAUAGAACCAAUCAAACUAUUUAAUGCAUAUACUGCAAAAUCAUAUGGUUGGAAAUUGACUUAACAGAUGACAGAAAGCAAGAAGGAGGAACAGAGCAUAGUUGUUAAAAAGAUACCUGAUACCAAGGUCGGAAGAAACUUGGACAGUUUGUCUUCAGAUGAAGAUCAUCACUAUGUAUGCUUCAGAAAUCGGAAUGAAUGCCACCGUCUCCAAAACCUCAAAGCAAAGAUAUGAAAAACAGAGGUCGAUUUUUCAUAUGUUUUUUUUGAAAGAAAGAUGAAUAUGGAUGUGGACCAACUAUAACGGUGCCUAAAUUAGGUAUUAGAUUUUAAAUAUAAGAGUAUUUAUCAGGUUAUAUAUAAAAUACAGCUAUAAAUGACAAAGCAUGUUCCAGCG